CUGUUGGUGUGGGGAGACGCGGGCCACAAGUAGCAAAGAGCCGGACGCCUGGGCUGCUAGUCCCGAAAACUAGCCGGCAGGACAGAUAGUAUGUAUUUCCCAAGCUUUGGACUAUGUUUGGGUCUUUUAUUCAUCUCAAGCAAUGCAAAACUUAUGAAUGAUGGUGUUGAGGUAGAAGACUCUGCUAAAAGUUCAGAUGAGAUUGAUGUUGAAACAGAGAGUUCUUCAGAGAUUCAGUAUAAGACACCUAAACCCAGAGGAGAAGUAUAUUUUGCAGAGACCUUUGAUAGUGGGAAGUUGGCUGGGUGAGUAUACAUUGA